rnacentral:lncRNA from 1 species
UAGAGCUUAUGAAUUAGCAGCCCUCAAGUAUUGGGGUCCCACCACCACCACAAACUAUCCGGUUUGCAACUAUGAGAAAGAGCUUGAAGAAAUGAACAACAUGACUAGGCAAGAAAUAUGGAUUAAACUGCCAAUAAUGGUUUUAGAUUAAGAAAACCGAACCGACCAGGUUGGUAAUUGGUUGGGCUGCCAGUCACUAUCACAAUGCAGUGUCCUCUUUAUUCUUUGGUUCAAUCCAUGUGCACAACUCACUAUCACUUGUUCUUUUCAUUUGUGGAUUUCUGCCUUUGA